AUAGCAGCUGUGCCGCGGGCAUAGGUCCAAGGAGGAUCCAGAUCCCUGGCGCCGUACCGAGCCAAGACUGCGAUGGAGUGGACACCCGUGUUGACAGGGUACCACAGUAUAUAUCAGGGAGGCUGAAACUUUUGGUUCCCCUUGAUAGCAAAUAAGUGUAUCCUACUCGGGUUCAAAAAAUAAAGAAGACGGAAGAAGGAGAAGCGGAGGGAGCGAGGGAUACAAUACGCCGAGGAUUUUGGGACCCAGAGAGGGGGAAGACCUAACGGGGAUCACAAGAAGAACCAGGAGGGCAGAGGCAGAGAGUUGAGGCAGAGAGAGAGAGAGUGUGUGUGAGAGAGGCAGAGGAAUGUGGGAGUGUGUGUGUGUCUGUGGCGGUGUCGUCGUUUGGUGGACUUUGGCAGCAGUGAGUGACAGACAGCGCCAUAUCUAAGUAAGAGCCCAGAUGAUGAUGAUGAUGAUGAUGCCAGGAGGAGCUGCUCCCGCCUAUGCACCACCCCAGCCCUCGUCUCGGAGGAUGAUGAUCCCGCUUUAGAGCUAUUGCAAGCUCGUUUUUCCUCCUCCUCCUCCUCUUCCCUUGCCCGCUCCCUCCCUUCCCCCUUUUCCCUUUUACCUAUUGCUGUGCGGCCCAGGCUGACCAGGCUUCACUGUCCAUACCUAGUUUCGCCGGGGAGCCUUGAGGGUGCGGGCAGGAGCGGCGGUCCCGAAGGGUAGUACGCGCUUACUGCGAACGCCAAGAUGACGGAACCUUCAAAAGUGCUUCAUAUACGAAAUGUUGGACCUGAAAUAGCAGAGCAUGACCUCAAACCAGCUUGCCCAGUCGUUUGGAGUGGUGCAAAAA